UUAGCUUGUAACUAGCUUGUAGAUAGCUUGUAACUAGCUUGUCACAUUGAUUACAUCAUUAAUAAAAAUGUAGUCUUUUACUUUCUCUCUCAAGGCUACAAGCUCUCAAGCUUUAACAACAAUGGCUACCCUCAUCUUCCUUAUUUCCUUCUCCUCCUUCCCCUAAACUCUCAAAUUCAACAUGGUAUUAGAGCGGGAACGAUCCCGACUCUUCAAUUCCGCAUAAUAUUUUCGUUCAAAUAAACUCAUCAAUUAUUUUUCCCCAAAAUUUUUCUGCUCUGAAAUUUUGCUCGAAUUAGGGUUCUAAUUCGCCCUAAUAUCUCAAAAUUUCGCUCGCAAAUCUUCUUUAAAGCCUUGAAUCAAAUGAUUUUUGAUUCUUGAGUUUUCCCAAAUUCUAGAGUUCUUGAAGAUUUUCGAUUAUUUGCAAGAAUAUGGCAUUUUUGAUAGAUUCUUGAAGCAAUUUGCAUUUCCGUGUUCCUCGGCGUGUCUAAACGGAGGUUAAUUCGUGAUUAGGUUGCGAUUGCUCUUCCGUCGUCGUCUUCUUUGACGUCUGCUUCUGCUACUUCAAGGUUCAGUUGGUAUGCAUUCUGGUGGCCAAUGUACUUUGGAAUUGAAAAUGGCAGAACUUGUGUUGUGGUGAUCAGCAGCUAGCACUCUAUACUUGUUCCUCACAGCAAGCCAUCAACUUUGUGCAGGGUUCAACAAGCAUUUUCCGUUUCCAGCAACUGUUGGGUUCCUACUCUACUUGUUCAUGGUAGCAAGUACCCCCCAGUUUCGAUGUCCAUGGCGCAGACUGUAGAUUGCAGAUUUCAUGGUGCAUACUUCAUAUUUCAUUGUGCAGACUGCAGAUUUCAUGAAGAGAUUUUUACACGCUUUCAAACUGAAGAAGUUUAUCACCAUCUCCUGUUUGAGGGGGGGUAUUUGAGUAUAGAGAAUUAGCUUGUAACUAGCUUGUAAAUACUAAGUAUAAAUACAAUAGUUUGUACUAUCUCACAUUGAUUACAUCAUUAAUAAAAAUGUAGUCCUUUACUUUCUCUCUCAA